rnacentral:rRNA from 1 species
UACAGAGGUCCCAAGCGUUGUUCGGAUUCAUUGGGCGUAAAGGGUGCGUAGGUGGCGCCGUAAGUCGGGUGUGAAAUUUCGGAGCUUAACUCCGAAACUGCAUUCGAUACUGCGGUGCUUGAGGACUGGAGAGGAGACUGGAAUUCAUGGUGUAGCAGUGAAAUGCGUAGAGAUCAUGAGGAAGACCAGUGGCGAAGGCGAAUCCCUGGAAAAUACCUGACACUGAGGCACGAAGGCCAGGGGAGCAAACGGG